GCUCGAGAUUAUGCCUCUUCCUUGUGUCGACUUCGCUUUCCAUCUGUGAACUGGGAAAGGUGACCAGUAGGCUGCAUGCUCUAAAGAUGCUAAAGAUGUAGCACAUGCCCAGCCCCCAUGGUCCCAGCCUGUCACCAGGCCAUUCUGCUGCUACCAGAAACUUGCUGUUUAGGACUUCCAUCUGCAGGCAAGUGGGGCCAUGGGAUCUGCUAACAUGCAGAAGGAAGAUAGCAGCUCUUUGUGAACUCUCGGGCCUGCUGCACAAUAAGCCAGAACAACACAGAGACAAGAUGCUUUGGAACGUCUGGGAGUCUCUGCUGUCUUAUUACAUACAAGGACCCUGGCAUUUCCUGCUAAUUCAAAGGAAGAGAAGAAAAUUAGUGCCUGUUCUUCAUCAUGUCUGUGAAACUGGAGCCAAAAAUGGAUUUUUUUUGGAUCACACAUCUCCUGUCUCCUGCUGCCGGUGAUGAAGCUGCCAGCCCCACGCCAGUGGGCGGAAAUAGAUACCAGCCCUGGAGGAAGUACUGACUGCUUAUGGGCGCCUGCCACCCUCCCUGCUUCCUCCUCUUCGUGUGGAAGGAAACCGUGGGCUUUCCUGGGCAUUUUUUCUUAUUCUCUUAAUACAGGGGAACUGAAGCAUUUGGCUUUGGUUGUUUGGAUAGUGAAUCUCAGCUUGGAGGGCUUUCCAGAAAGCAGGCGGCUCCGGUCUCUGAACUCUAACUCCGUUUCUCCACCCCCCUUCCGGUGCUGUGCAGUUCUUUCCAAUUCCUGAAUUGACAUGUACAGUACUAGAAAACCUGCAGAGAGCGCCUGGAGGUCACAGCCUGCAUGAGCUUUCAAGCUGGAGAGGGCUAAGUGGAAGGAAGACACUGCACCCCUGGGAUUUCCUCCUGCAAAUGAGAUGAAAUCUAUAUAAAUGUACUCUUUCCCGUCUCAUACCUUUUAUUCGAUUUGCAUACCACGGAUCCGAUGACAACUCUCUUGAAAAGUGCUCCUUUGACUGUUUCAGCCACAGCGGUUCAUGCAAAGAAACUAAAUCUUGGAAAGGAAGGGGCUAACCCCUCCCCAUGCUUGUGCUCAGGAACCACAUGAUGACCAUGACAGACCAUGACCAGGACAUCGGUGGGUGCAAAAAGAAGAAACAAGAGCACAGGGAGGAAGGAAGAGCUGGGUGGCAUGGGGUGGGGUGGGGUGGGGGGAGGAUUGCAACUAGGCAUGAUCUUGCUUCAGGGCAUGGAGCCCAGAAAGCCCAAGACCAGAGGGCUAUGCCUAGAGCGAAGCAUAUUUUUCAGCAGUGCUCCCCCCAUUUGGGGGACAUAUUCUAGGAUGGAAGUAGAAAGAUUGUAAUGGAAUGUGGCACGUGAGCUCAUUUGUGAAAAACAAAACAAAAUAAAACAAAAAACC